GUCCUAGGGUCAUUUGAUUUAAAUUUGAUUUCUUUUAUUUCAUGUCAAAAAUUUUCUCUUGUCAAAAAUAAUACAGAUGUUUUCCCCCACUAAAACUCCCUCCACGUCAAUUCCUACUCGGCCAUAUGUAUUCUUUCACUAAUAUAGAUUUCAAUGGUACAGGUAUCAAAUUGUUAUCAAUUCCCAUCAGUCCAGCUAGAAACCACAAAUGAAAGAGGUCAACAAGUGAUUAUUGCUUAUAGUACCUAGGUUGAGAGCAGGUAACAUCUUCUGCUGUGCAUGC
rnacentral:lncRNA from 1 species